GACGAACGCUGGCGGCGCGCUUAACACAUGCAAGUCGAACGAAGAGCGAUGGAAGCUUGCUUCUAUCAAUCUUAGUGGCGAACGGGUGAGUAACGCGUAAUCAACCUGCCCUUCAGAGGGGGACAACAGUUGGAAACGACUGCUAAUACCGCAUACGAUCUAAUCUCGGCAUCGAGGAUAGAUGAAAGGUGGCCUCUACAUGUAAGCUAUCACUGAAGGAGGGGAUUGCGUCUGAUGAGCUAGCUGGAGGGGUAACGGCCCACCAAGGCGAUGGUCAGUAGCCGGUCUGAGAGGAUGAACGGCCACAUUGGGACUGAGACACGGCCCAGACUCCUACGGGAGGCAGCAGUGGGGAAUCUUCCGCAAUGGACGAAAGUCUGACGGAGCAACGCCGCGUGAGUGAUGACGGCCUUCGGGUUGUAAAGCUCUGUUAAUCGGGACGAAAGGCCUUCUUGCGAAUAGUGAGAAGGAUUGACGGUACCGGAAUAGAAAGCCACGGCUAACUACGU
rnacentral:rRNA from 1 species